rnacentral:rRNA from 1 species
UACGAAGGGGGCUAGCGUUGUUCGGAAUUAUUGGGCGUAAAGGGCGCGUAGGCGGCAUGGCAAGUGGAUGGUGAAAUCCCUCGGCUUAACCGAGGAACUGCCGUCCAAACUGCUUCGCUUGAGACCGGGAGAGGUGAGUGGAAUUCCCAGUGUAGCGGUGAAAUGCGUAGAUAUUGGGAGGAACACCAGUGGCGAAGGCGGCUCACUGGACCGGUACUGACGCUGAUGCGCGAAAGCGUGGGGAGCAAACGGG